GUAGGGGGCAAGCGUUAUCCGGAUUUACUGGGUGUAAAGGGAGCGUAGACGGAGCAGCAAGUCUGAUGUGAAAACCCGGGGCUCAACCCCGGGACUGCAUUGGAAACUGUUGAUCUGGAGUGCCGGAGAGGUAAGCGGAAUUCCUAGUGUAGCGGUGAAAUGCGUAGAUAUUANGAGGAACACCAGUGGCGAAGGCGGCUUACUGGACGGNAACUGACGUUGAGGCUCGUNNUUUUUUUGAGCAAACAGGAUUAGAUACCCUGGUAGUCCACGCCGCAAACGAUGACUACUANGUGUCGGGUGGCAAAGCCAUUCUNCGCCGCANCCAACGAAANAANUANUCCACCUGGGGAGG
rnacentral:rRNA from 1 species